UAGAUAUGUGAAAAUAAUUCGUUCCCCACAUCCCCCACGACUCUCGCUCACUCAUACGUUCACCACCUUCCUCCGUCACUGCGUCACUGUCCCUUCCUCCACCGGCGUUCCGCCGCUCACUGUGCCUUCACUCGCUCACCGUUCCUUCUGCACCGUUGGCAUCGCCCACCACUGUCAAAUACAAUUUGUAAUCCGUAAUUCCCUUUUCUGGGUUUAGUUUGUAAUCCCUAUAUUCGUUGGCUCUGUUUGUACUCAAUCUGUGUUGAAUACGUGUCUUCAGUUGCUCACCGUUCGUUCUGCAUCGUUGGUGUCGCCCGCCACUAUCAAGUUCAAUUGUCAAGGCUAUAGCUUCUGAUUUGGUGUGGGAUUUCCAGUCCAAUCAUUAGGACGACAAAAAAACGAAGAGGAGCUUCGUGUGUUUUCACUAAGUCUGUAAGAACAAACGAGUGAACGAGUCGAAAAGCAAGUAACUGCACUGCAUGGACCCUCUGGAAGCUUUGGUCGCUCAAAUCCAAGGGCUAUCGAGCACUUCUAGCGAUGUCAAUCGCCUCCAAGUUAUUUUGAAACAAGCCGAUGACUCGCUCCGAUCCAAGUCAACUCGCCUCCCCCCACUUCUCACUCAACUCGACCCUUCCAUUCACUCACUUGGUUUUCUCUACAUCUUAGAUGCCUACAUGACUAGUCCGAUCACCAAAACGCAGGCUGAGACUGCCGUUCCAAUCGUUACCAGGUUCAUCGGCGCUUGCAACGAUCAGAUUCGUUUGGCCCCUGAAAAAUUUUUAUCUGUGUGUAGGAGGUUGAAGGAUCAAGUGAUGUUGUUGGAAGCUCCAAUACGAGGUGUGGCUCCUUUGUUCACUGCACUUCGGAAAGUUCAGGUCUCUGCAGAGCACUUAACUCCCCUACAUUCAGAGUUUCUUUUGCUUUGCUUGUUGUCAAAGUGCUACAAAACUGGUUUAUCCAUAUUGGAUGAUGAUGUUUUUGAAGUUAAACACCCACGAGACUUUUUUCUCUACUGUUAUUAUGGAGGAAUGAUAUGCAUUGGAAUGAAGUGCUUUCAAAAAGCAUUGGACCUUCUGCAUAAUGUUGUAACUGCUCCCAUGUCUGUCAUUAAUGCUAUAGCUGUGGAAGCGUACAAAAAGUAUAUCCUGGUUUCUCUCAUUCGUAAUGGGCAGUUCUCUACCAGUCUUCCUAAGUAUUCUUCUUCUGCUGCUCAAAGGAACCUGAAGAACUUCUGUCAGCCUUAUGUCGAAUUGGCAAAUACUUAUGGCAAUGGAAAAAUUGCAGAAUUAGAGGCUUUCGUCAAGACAAAUGCGGAGAAGUUUGAAUCUGACAGCAACCUUGGACUGGCUAAGCAGGUAGUAUCAUCCAUGUAUAAGCGGAAUAUUCAAAGAUUGACCCAAACAUACUUGACCCUUUCUCUCCAAGAUAUAGCCAACACAGUGCAGUUAAAUAGCCCCAAAGAAGCUGAAAUGCAUGUGCUACAAAUGAUUCAGGAUGGUGAGAUAUAUGCUACUAUCAACCAGAAGGAUGGAAUGGUGAGAUUCUUGGAGGAUCCUGAACAGUAUAAAACCUGUGAAAUGAUUGAGCACAUUGAUUCAUCAAUCCAGAGAGUAAUGGCACUAUCAAGGAAGCUAACUGGAAUGGAUGAACAAAUUUCAUGUGAUCAGUUGUAUUUGUCUAAGACCGGAAGAGAGAGACAAAGAUACGACUUCGAUGACUUUGAUGUUCCACAAAAGUUCAACAUUUAAGACUCUUAUUGUGGAUAUAGAGGUAGAUGAGCAUACGAAGAGAGCCAUGGAGAGAUUAAGUAGUUCAGCCUCUCAUAUUUCCUUUUCAACCAUUCCAACAAAAUAGGAGAUGAACAGUGGAGAAGAAGAUGGAAGAUCUUCCUUAUUGUCACUGUUAUCACAAGAAUGACUCAAUUGUUCUUUUUCCUAACACCCAAUUGUCACUGUUAUUUUGGAUACAUAGUAGGAUUUGGAAAGUUGGUCUUAGAAUUCAAGACAUGGUAAAUACAAUGCCAGUUGAUAAUCAAUUAAGAAAUUAUUACAGUAUAAAUUGUGAAUUAUAUUGAUGUCA